CCAGCUGACGGGAUGCCAUUGAAGCAUGGUACUGCAGCCUAGAUGGCACCCUGGCAGCAGGGCCUCCGUCUGCAGGUGGGAAAUGGGGCAGUGGCAGCGAAGGAGAUGAGUUUGAGCGCUGGGAGCCCCAGGUUGAAACUGUCAUGGCUUCAUGGCCAAGUGGGGAUUUGAACUCGUCUCUCCUAGGUCCUGGUCCAACAUUCUAACCAGUGCUUUUCUUUUUAGUAAAUAAGGUGCUGGUACUCACCAUGAAGGGAUGCGGGUGGCGCUGUGGGUUAAACCACAGAGCCUAGAACUUGCCGAUCAGAAGGUCGGCGGUUCGAAUCCCCAUGACAGGGUGAGCUCCUGUUGCUCGGUCCCUGCUCCUGUCAACCUAGCAGUUCGAAAGCACCUCAAAGUGCAAGUAGAUAAAUAGGUACCGCUCCAGCGGGAAGGUAAACGGCGUUUCCAUGCUCUGGUUCGCCAGAAGUGGCUUAGUCAUGCUGGCCACAUGACCCGGAAGCUGUAUGCCGGCUCCCUCGGCCAUUAAAGCAAAAUGAAUGCCGCAACCCCAGAGUCGGCCAUGACUGGACCUAAUGGUCAGGGGUCCCUUUACCUUUACCUUUACUCACCAUGAAGUUGUUACACUUUUAACAUGGGGGGGAGGUGCCAAUAUUGCUUACCUGUAAGUACCCCCCAGAAAAAAGCAGAGACUCUAAUCACUGCUCUACACUGCCUCACUGAUGCCACAGGCAAUUCUGGCGGGCACACUGGUGCUCACGGGCGCCACGUUGGCGACUUCACUAGUCCUUAGGGAAGAGGACCUAUUAUUGCAGUUUUUUGCGCACACCAAAGGGGCCAUCCAGCAGAGCCCUUGGAGGUUGGCCUUCCCCAAGCAGCAGCAGAAAGGCAGAUUUCCACGCAUCUCCACCCGCAGGUAACUGCUGCCUCUCUCCGCAGAGGGAUCUCUGAGUAUUUGAUUUGGAUACAAGUGACAGAUAAGGCCGAACAGGCUGCAGGAUGUUAGACUCGGCCUCACCGGAGGAUUGCAAACAAAAUAGGCUUGCUAACUUGGAGGUACUCCCCUCGCGUCUCCUUCCCCCAAGCCCCCUCGAGCAGCGUGUUAGAUCUCCGUCUCUCCAUCUCCAUCUAACAGGGCAAGUGAGACAGACAAAUUUAUUUGGCCAGCAAAUAUUGUUUUCUCUCUUUAUUAGAUGGAGGCUUUGAAUGUUUUAUGAGCUCCGGUAUUAUAAGAUCGUGGUGGGGGAGAAGAAAGCAUCACCUCCAAAAAGAAAAAGAAAAAAAAUAGCAAGCCUGGUGGACUCCUAAGAUGGGGAGGGCCGGGGAAGAGCGCCCAGACGGCCCUCGUGGAUGGCGGCAGGUACUUUGCGCUGCUUGCGGAGACUGCAUUAAAAUGCAAAUUUCUCUCUGCCUGCUGGGAGCAGAUAGUAAAACGCUAAAGAGGCAGGAGGCUUCUCUUUCGCAAGAGAGGCAGGCAGGCCCGCGACGGAGCAUGGGGCACUUUUUAAUUAUUUUCCUCGGCGCCUUUUUAAAUGAGAUUGGAAGUGUUUUCUCUUGCUGCAGAGGCUGAAAAUAAACAAAGCCAGAGGGGUUUUUUU
rnacentral:lncRNA from 1 species